rnacentral:lncRNA from 1 species
GACUGAGUCCUCCGAGAAAACGUCUCAUAGCAGCAUUUCCUCAACUGAGGCUCCUUCCUCUCUGAUGUCAGGGUGACACACACCACCACCCAGUACAGUAUGUAACAAUAAUUAAUGAAAAAAGUGAGAGAGAGCAAGGAAAGGUAUAUAGGAGCAUUUGGAAGGAGGAAAAGGAAGGGGGAAAUAUAUUAAAAUCUCAAAAGACAAAUAACUAAGUAUAUCUAUAUACAUAGAAAAUAUUAAAAAUACUGGUUUUCUAGAAACAACUAUUUUAGUUUAACCUUUUAAAUCACCUGCAUUGUUUUAUACACAAUUAAGUUUAUUGUGAUCUUAAGAUUAUUUACUUUCCUUUUAAACAGGAUUCACUAGCAAAAUUUGCAGGCAGAAAACUGAAAGACUGUGGAGAAGAUCUUCUUGUGGAGAUAUCUGAAGUGUUGUUUAAUGAAUUGGCUUUCUUUAAGCUCAUGCAAGAUUUGGAUAAUAACAGCAUAGCUGUUAAACAGAGAUGCAAAAGGAAAAUUGAAGCAGCUGGAGUGAUACAGUCUUAUGCAAAAGAGGCCAAAAGGAUUCUUGAAGGAGAUCGUGGCUCACCUGCUGGAGAGAUUGAUGAUGAAGACAAAGACAAGGAUGAGACUGAAACUGUUAAGCAGACUCAGACUUCAGAAGUAUAUGAUGCUAAAGGUCCCAAAAAUGUAAGAUCUGA